rnacentral:rRNA from 1 species
ACGAAGGGGGCUAGCGUUGUUCGGAAUUACUGGGCGUAAAGCGCACGUAGGCGGAUAUUUAAGUGAGGGGUGAAAUCCCAGGGCUCAACCCUGGAACUGCCUCUCAUACUGGGUAUCUCGAGUUCGAGAGAGGUGAGUGGAAUUGCGAGUGUAGAGGUGAAAUUCGUAGAUAUUCGCAGGAACACCAGUGGCGAAGGCGGCUCACUGGCUCGAUACUGACGCUGAGGUGCGAAAGCGUGGGGAGCAAACAGG